CGCCACGCGGACUGACUCACGCACGCUGCACGAAGUUGUCUUUGCUAGUUGUUGCUAAUUGUUGCUAAUUAAUCGUGGGUUGAUCAUUAUAUCUACUUGACUGUACUUGUCGAAGAGGAAAGCAAACAUGGGUGGCUGUUGCUCCAGACAGCCUGCCAUGGAGGAAGAUGGAGGAGAACCUGACCACCGCCCGGCCCCUUCUGUGGUUGCAUCGCUGCCUCAGAAGAAACCCUCUUUUUUCCCCACUUUCCCAUCCCUCCCCUCUUCUCGUUUCAACCCCACUGCAUCUCUACCCUCUUCUCGUUUCUCCCCCACUGCAUGCCUCCCCUCUUCUUGUGUCUCCCCCACUACAUCUCUCCUCUCUUCUCGUUUCUCCCCCACUACAUCCCUCCCGUAUUCUUGUGUCUCCACCACUACAUGCCUUCCAACUUCUCGCGUCUCCCCGACUACAUCUUCCCCCUCUUCUCGUUUCACCCCCACUACAUGUCUCCCCUCUUCUUGUGUCUCCCCUAAUACAUGCCUCCCCUCUUCUUGUGUCUCCCCCGCUACAUGUCUCCCCUCUUCUUGUGUCUCCCCCAAUACAUGCCUCCCCCCUUCUUGUGUCUCCCCCACUACAUGCCUCCCCUCUUCUUGUGUCUCCCCAACUACAUGUUUCCCCACUUCUUGUGUCUCCCCCACUACAUCCAUCUCCUCUUCUCGUGUCUCCCCCACUACAUGUCUCCCCUCUUCUUGUGUCUCCCCCACUAAAUGCCUCCCCUCUUCUUGUGUCUCCCCAACUACAUGUUUCCCCACUUCUUGUGUCUCCCCCACUACAUCCAUCUCCUCUUCUCGUGUCUCCCCCACUACAUGUCUCCCCUCUUCUUGUGUCUCCCCCACUACAUGCCUCCCCUCUUCUUGUGUCUUCCCGACUACAGCUCUCCCCUAUUCUUGUGUCUCCCCCACUACAUCCCUCCCUGUUUCUCAUCACCCCGCCUCUCUCUUCUCGUCCCCAUCCUCCCCUGUUCCGUUCCCUGUUCCUGUUCUUCUGUCCUCUGGUAUCUCCCCAAUAACUGUGUCUCUUUCUCCCUCCCCCCCCUCCUCUCUCUCUCCAACAGGAAUCCUGGACCUUCCAGAUGUCAUCACCCCCAGCAGCAGAGAUGUCUCCUCCCCACCAGGACGGUCAUCAGAUGUCGGUGAGCAGAGCAGCAAAGGGACCUCAGAGGACACCACCCUGCCUGAUGAGGAUGUACUGGGGAAUCAAAUGUAGGUAACAAGUAGCAUUAAGUUCACCGCCGGUGAAAUUAUGCCAAAAAUGACUCAUCCAUGUUUCUAACUUUUCAAUUUGCAUUCCUGCUUUUUAUUUGUCCUUAAAACAUCAGCCCCCAUCCUCAGUUGACCUUGAUGAAUGUGUGCGUUUCAGGGUACCUGCAGUAGCUGGGAGUGAGCUCAAUGAGGUGGACCCCACUGGGCCUCCUGCCCAGACAACAGGUACUUUGAAGCAGUCCUCCAUUGAGUAGACAGCAUGUCCCACAGAUCAACUAUUAUUGUCUUAACCGUGGUGGUGGUCGGUCCUCAGAGUUCUCCCGGCCUCGUCGCUUCUCAUCUCUGCAGUGGUAUGACAGCAGGAGCCAACCUUUGCUGAUUGCAUCAGGGAGAUCCAUCAGCACAGGAUUGGACAUCAGAUAGAAAUCGAUGAAUGAAUGAGUCCGUUUUGCUUAUACGUGACGUGACUAUCCUCCUCAUUGCUGUGUUUCCCUCUCUGUUCCCCUCGUCCCUGUGUGUUGCAGUCAGCCUCAGAGGGACGAGGUCAGCCGGCUGCGGGCCUCCUCUGGUAGGAGCAAGACCCAGCAACACCAGGAGGCCCUUGGGUAAGAGACAGGAAAGACAUCUCUUGAGCUGGUUCUUUAGAGAAUAAACAUGAAUACAACCAGCCUGUUUGGGGCCGCUGAUGCCUUCACCCCCUUAUAGUCCAUAGUUUAAGGAGUUCUGGUUAUAUUUGUAGAGAUUUACACUUUCCCAAACAUUGGUUGUCUCUUCUUUAAAACCUAAUCAUCACGACUAUAUACUCCGGGCUGGUACAUUGACUAAUGAUGUGUAUGUGUUUUCUUCAGCUUGCCCAACAUUGGAAACAGCUGCUUCCUGAACGCGUCCCUGCAGUGUCUCUACAGCCUGCCCUGCUUCUGCAGUGACAUCACGGGGCAGGAGGACCUCUGGAGCCCCCGGAGAAGAACCAAGCUGAAGCUGCUGAGGUCCAGUAGAGAUCCAGACCCUUAGCCCUCACACUAGAGAACCAGACCCUAAGCCCUCACACUAGAGGAGAACCAGACCCUUAGCCCUCACACCAGAGGAGAACCAGACCCUUAGCCCUCACACCAGAGGAGAACCAGACCCUUAGCCCUCACACUAGAGGAGAACCAGACCCUUAGCCCUCACACUAGAGGAGAACCAGAACCAUAGCCCUCACAAACUACAGUACAGCUUGGACGAUUUACUGACAAAGUGAAUGCUCCACUGUACAAUAUUAAGUACAGUAGGUAUACUAAAUGCACUUGGUUUUUUUCUGAUGCUGUUCUCCAGGUACUUGGGGGAGCUAUAUAAAUCCCGGCAGGGUGAGGGCUCCUACAAAGGCAAGCGCCGGCUCCUUUGGUCCAUCAAGAGCAGUCUGGCAGAGUCCAACGAGGAGUACGAGCAUAUCACUGAGCAGGUACAGCUGAUGAGUCCUUAUCUCUUGGCUUAUGCGCUUGUUGAGGAUUAAACACAUGUCAACUGAACUUCUGGUUUCUGACAGGAUGCUCAUGAGUUCCUGCUCCUCCUCUUCAUGAAGAUGAAGAUGGAAGGUGAGACACUGCAGGAGAUCUCCACGUCACCCAGCUAUAUCUGCCCCGUCCAGAACUUUGAGUUCAGACUGCAGUGUGUACGCACCUGCACCAGGUAACGCUUGACUUCAUCGAACGUAUUAUUGUUGUCGCAUAAUACUACUAUAGUUCCUCCAUCAUUGAAUGAUGGAAAUCAGAGUCAAUCAAUGUUACGCCAACACUUUUGGCAUCAUGAUCUGGUCUGCUGUGUUCAAAUGGUGAUUUUCUGUUCUCUGCCCGUCUUAAAAGCUGCGGUGACAAGGUCUUCCAGGAGGAGGAGCAGAACCACUUGUCCUUGGACCUCCACCCGUCGUUGAUAGCUGGCCUCCAAUUCUACUUCAAAGUCAGUACACCGUUGUGUUGGUGUGUCCGAUUACGCUGGUCCACUGAUACUCACAGAGCACUUUCCCUCAGCCUUCAGAGUUGGAGUGCACCUGCCGGCAGUGCUCUGGAUGCCAGGCAACAGCGGUUCGGCAUUUCCUCACUCUGCCCAGGUGAGCCAUGAACUUGAGUCUGUUGUCUCCAAUGUUGCCUUGAAGCAGACUUUUCAUACGUACGGGCGCGUGUGUGCAUGCAGCGAUCGGACGAUGAACCGUUUGUGUCCACAGAGUGUUACUCCUUCACAUGAAGCGCUUCCACCACGACGGGGCACGGUUGAGGAAGGUGACCGAUGCUGUCAGCGUUCCUCCAUGGCUGUCUCUGGCCUCCCUCGUUGGAGAGCAGGGUGCUGCAGCUGGGAUAGACCCACUGAGGUAAGAGAUAAGGAAACAGACUACGACG
ensembl:lncRNA